rnacentral:tRNA from 1 species
GCGAGGAUGGCGGAACUGGCAGACGCGCCAGAUUCAGGUUCUGGUGGCCGCAAGGCUGUGGGGGUUCAAGUCCCCCUCCUCGCAC